rnacentral:misc_RNA from 1 species
UACGUAGGGGCCGAGCGUUGUCCGGAGUUACUGGGCGUAAAGCGCACGCAGGCGGCGGCGCUGGCCCGGCGUGAAAGCCCCCGGCCUAACCGGGGAAGGGCGUCGGGGACCGCGCCGCUUGAGGGCAGCAGGGGGUGGUGGAAUGCCUGGUGUAGUGGUGAAAUGCGUAGAGAUCAGGCGGAACACCCGUGGCGAAGGCGGCCACCUGGGCUGCACCUGACGCUGAGGUGCGAAGGCGUGGGGAGCGAACGGG